CGUUAGCGGCGGACGGGUGAGUAACGCGUGGACAACCUGCCCUAUGCAGGGGGAUAACAUCCGGAAACGGGUGCUAAUACCGCAUAAGCGCACAGUACCGCAUGGUACGGUGUGAAAAGCUGAGGCGGCAUAGGAUGGGUCCGCGUUGGAUUAGGCAGUUGGCGGGGUAACGGCCCACCAAACCGACGAUCCAUAGCCGGCCUGAGAGGGUGGACGGCCACAUUGGGACUGAGACACGGCCCAGACUCCUACGGGAGGCAGCAG
rnacentral:rRNA from 1 species